rnacentral:snRNA from 1 species
AGCUUUGCACAGUGGCAGUAUCAUAGCCAAUGAAGUUUAUCUGAUGUGUGAUUAUUGCUAAUUGAAAACAAAGGUUGAUUGUGAAUAUAAUAUGACAUGAUCGAAUGAAAGACCUAAAACUUUGAGUGGU